UCGGAGAAAGUGGUCCAUGGUGUCGAGAU
rnacentral:piRNA from 1 species